rnacentral:rRNA from 1 species
UACCAGACUCCUACGGGAGGCAGCAGUGAGGAAUAUUGGUCAAUGGCCGAGAGGCUGAACCAGCCAAGUCGCGUGAGGGAAGAAUGUCCUAUGGAUUGUAAACCUCUUUUGUCGGGGAGCAAAGUCACCCACGUGUGGGUGUUGGAGAGUACCUGAAGAAAAAGCAUCGGCUAACUCCGUGCCAGCAGCCGCGGUAAUACGGAGGAUGCGAGCGUUAUCCGGAUUUAUUGGGUUUAAAGGGUGCGUAGGCGGAACAUUAAGUCAGCGGUAAAAUCGAGGGGCUCAACCCCUUUAAGCCGUUGAAACUGGUGAUCUUGAGUGGGCGAGAAGUAUGCGGAAUGCGUGGUGUAGCGGUGAAAUGCAUAGAUAUCACGCAGAACUCCGAUUGCGAAGGCAGCAUACCGGCGCCCGACUGACGCUGAGGCACGAAAGCGUGGGUAUCGAACAGGAUUAGAUACCCCAGUCC